rnacentral:lncRNA from 1 species
UGAUUCUAGUGUCACUACCACAGGUGUUCAUGAGAAAUUUCUUCCAAGUGGGUGCAAAAGACCUUUGGAUUAUUUUAGAAGUCUGAUCCUGCAUCACGGAAAUGAAAGGAUGAUUUGCCAGUACACUUAGUGUCAUUGUAUGAGACCAUACCAAUUCUUUUUCUGAAAAAUGUCAUUUGUAUAAAUGAAUUUGUGCAAGUUUAUUUCAAUAAUUC